GAUGAACGCUGGCGGCGUGCCUAAUACAUGCGAGUCGAGCGAACGGACGAGAAGCUUGCUUUUCUGAUGUUAGCGGCGGACGGGUGAGUAACACGUGGAUAACCUACCUAUAAGACUGGGAUAACUUCGGGAAACCGGAGCUAAUACCGGAUAAUAUUUUGAACCGCAUGGUUCAAAAGUGAAAGACGGUCUUGCUGUCACUUAUAGAUGGAUCCGCGCUGCAUUAGCUAGUUGGUAAGGUAACGGCUUACCAAGGCAACGAUGCAUAGCCGACCUGAGAGGGUGAUCGGCCACACGGGAACGGAGACACGGUCCAAACUCUACGGGAGGCAGCAGUAGGGAAUCUUCCGCAAUGGGCGAAAGCCUGACGGAGCAACGCCGCGUGAGUGAUGAAGGUCUUCGGAUCGUAAAACUCUGUUAUUAGGGAAGAACAUAUGUGUAAGUAACUGUGCACAUCUUGACGGUACCUAAUCAGAAAGCCACGGCUAACUACGUG
rnacentral:rRNA from 1 species